ACACAGCGCUAAUUUUAGCAGUAGGGUUACUGCACGUGAAUCAUCUCCUCUGCCCUGGAUAAAUAUGUCUUACCCGGACUCUCCAAUGAAGUUCAGCAUCGUCAAUGACCCUGAGGUGAUGGCGCUCCGCCAGGAGUGGCAGGUCAUGUCUUACUCUUGCUUGGAUGAGGCGGUGCCACGACAACAUCAACAUACAAAAGUUCCCUCGAAAUCGGGGAAAAAUUCCUCAGGGUCACUGGCAGCUUUGCUCGUAAGCUGAAUGCUUCUUCAGCAAAGGUGGAGUGGCAGAAGAAGCAACACCUCUCUGACAAGGCCACUAUUGAGAAGCUACGAAGUGAGUUGGCUCAACUCCAACACAGUUUGAAGCCUCCUGCAUCUGAAGUUACGGAUGAAGAAAUGCUCCAGGUGUUGGAGGAGGGUAAGUCACAUUCAAGCUGUGCCUUUUUAUAAUUGAAUUGUAAUAAUGUAUUUGCCUGUUGUUUAUGCUAUUUGUUGUAGGAAUGGUGGAGGUGUUGGAGGAGGGUAAGUUGUAAAUGUGUUAGUUUAGACUUCAGACUUUUAUUCAUCCCACAUGGGGACAAUUCACUUGUCACAGUAGCAGGUAGACAGACGCACAGAUAUACAAUAAGUAAAGGACUUAAAAUACUAAAAAGAUUUGAAUAAGAGAGAAUAGGUAAAAUAUAGAAAGCACAAUAAGUUAUGUGAAUUAUAUACAGCAGGCAAAAAUAUGCAUUAUAUGCAUUUAAAUAAAUUGUCAGAAUAUUGCCUUGUUGAAGCUGGUUGCAUAAAUGAAUACAUCGUUUGAAAAUAAACAGACUUAGUGUAUGAAUAUGAAUAUGUACCUAAAAUAGUAUUAUUGCACAGAAUAAUUGCACAAGAUGCCAGAGAUAGAAGUGUAAGUAGUGCAAAAUAUAUAGGUGCUUAUGAUGCUAUGUUAAGGGUUAUUGGUGUUGAACAAUCUGACAGCCGUUGGAAUAAAUCACCUGUGGUAGCGUUCUUUAUACACCGUGGGUGAAGCAGUCUGUUGCUGAAGGAGCUGCUUAAGGCCCCCACUGUCUCCUGUAGGGGGUGAGAGGGGUCGUCCAGAAUUGAUGGCAGCUUGGCUAUCAUCCUCCUCUCAUCCACCUCCUCAAUGGAAUCCAGAGGACAUUCCCAGACUGAGCCAGGCCUUUUGACCAGCUUAUUGAGUCUCUUCCUUUCCCUUUCUGAACUGUGGAUGCUCAGAGAGUCACAGGAAGAGACAUUUAAGCCGUGCCUUUAUGUGUGAGUGUAAUUGAAUUGUAAUAAUGUAUUUGCCUGUGUUGUUUAUGUCAUUUGUUGUAGGAGUGGCAGAGGUGUUGGAGGAGGGUGAGUUCUAAAUAUGGUAGUUUAGACUUGAGACUUUUAUUUACCUCACAUCAGGCAAAUUCACUUGUCACAGUAGCAGGUAGAUACACAUACAGAUAUAUAUAUUUAAAUAAAGUGUGAGUAUUGCUUUGUUGAGAUUAGAUGCAUAAGUAAAUAGUGUUUAAAUACAGUAUUUUAAAAUGAACAGACUCAGGGUAUGAAUAUGUACAAAAAAGAGAAUAGUAUUAUUGCACAGAAUAAUUGCACAAGAUAGCGGAGGUAGAAGUUUAAGUAGUGCAGAUAAGUAGAUGCUUAUGAUGUUACGUUUAGGGUUAUAUGUGUUGAACAGUCUGAUAGUUGUUGGAAUUAAUUACCUGCGGUAGUGUUCCUUCUUACACCGUGGGUUUAGCAGUCUGUUGCUGAAGGAGCUGCUUAAGGCCCUCACAGUUGCAUUUAGAGGUGAGAGGGGUUGUCCAUAAUUGAUGUCAGCUUGGCUAACAUCCUCCUCUCACCCACCUCCUCAAUAGAGUCCAGAAGACAGUCCAAGACUGAGCCAGACCUUUUCACCAGCUUAUUGAGUCUCUUCCUUUCUGUAUUUGAGCUUCCACCACUCAGAGAGGGACAGGAAGAGAGUCAAAAGACUCUGAUGAGACUCUUUGUUACAUUAAAGCUGUGCCUUUAUAUGUCAGUGUAACUGAAGUAAUAAUUUAUUUGCCUGUAUUGUUUAUGUCAUUUGCUGUAGGAGGAGAAGAUGUGGUGGGAGGAGUCUGAGGAGUUUCUGUUUGUGUUUCAAUUUUUGUUCAUUUAAUAAAUGUUGUUUGCAUA